rnacentral:rRNA from 2 species
GGAAGUAAAAGUCGUAACAAGGUCUCCGUUGGUGAACCAGCGGAGGGAUCAUUACUGAGUUUACGCUCUACAACCCUUUGUGAACAUACCUAUAACUGUUGCUUCGGCGGGUAGGGUCUCCGUGACCCUCCCGGCCUCCCGCCCCCGGGCGGGUCGGCGCCCGCCGGAGGAUAACCAAACUCUGAUUUAACGACGUUUCUUCUGAGUGGUACAAGCAAAUAAUCAAAACUUUUAACAACGGAUCUCUUGGUUCUGGCAUCGAUGAAGAACGCAGCGAAAUGCGAUAAGUAAUGUGAAUUGCAGAAUUCAGUGAAUCAUCGAAUCUUUGAACGCACAUUGCGCCCGCCAGCAUUCUGGCGGGCAUGCCUGUUCGAGCGUCAUUUCAACCCUCAAGCUCUGCUUGGUGUUGGGGCCCUACAGCUGAUGUAGGCCCUCAAAGGUAGUGGCGGACCCUCCCGGAGCCUCCUUUGCGUAGUAACUUUACGUCUCGCACUGGGAUCCGGAGGGACUCUUGCCGUAAAACCCCCAAUUUUCCAAAGGUUGACCUCGGAUCAGGUAGGAAUACCCGCUGAACUUAAGCAUAUCAAUAAGCGGAGGA